GUGCCAGCCGCCGCGGUAAUUCCAGCUCCAAUAGCGUAUAUUAAAGUUGUUGUGGUUAAAAAGCUCGUAGUUGAACCUUGGGCCUGGCUGGCCGGUCCGCCUCACCGCGUGCACUGGUCCGGCCGGGCCUUUCCCUCUGUGGAACCCCAUACCCUUCACUGGGCGUGGCGGGGGAACAGGACAUUUACUUUGAAAAAAUUAGAGUGCUCCAGGCAGGCCUAUGCUCGAAUACAUUAGCAUGGAAUAAUAAAAUAGGACGCGCGGUUCUAUUUUGUUGGUUUAUAGGACCGCCGUAAUGAUUAAUAGGGACAGUCGGGGGCAUCAGUAUUCAACUGUCAGAGGUGAAAUUCUUGGAUCAGUCGAAGACUAACUACUGCGAAAGCAUUUGCCAAGGAUGUUUUCAUUAAUCAGGAACGAAAGUUAGGGGAUCGAAGACGAUCAGAUACCGUCGUAGUCUUAACCAUAAACUAUGCCGACUAGGGAUCGGACGGUGUUAUUCAUGACCCGUUCGGCACCUUACGAGAAAUCAAAGUGCUUGGGCUCCAGGGGGAGUAUGGUCGCAAGGCUGAAACUUAAAGAAAUUGACGGAAGGGCACCACCAGGGGUGGAGCCUGCGGCUUAAUUUGACUCAACACGGGAAACUCACCAGGUCCAGACACAAUAAGGAUUGACAGAUUGAGAGCUCUUUUCUUGAUUUUGUGGGGUGGUGUGCAUGCCGUUCUUAGUUGGUGGGGGUGACUUGUCUGCUUAUUGCGAAUAACGACGGAGACCUUACUGCUAAAUAGCCCGCAUUGCUCCGCAGUGCGCUGGCUUCUUAAAGGGACUUUCGGCUUCAAGCCGAA
rnacentral:rRNA from 1 species